GUGGGUGUAACCUUAAAACCCCGUAUUCAUGGUUAUGGCAUUACAGCUUCCCAAGCUGAACGUCGUGGGUUCGAGUCCCAUCGCCCGCU
rnacentral:tRNA from 1 species